rnacentral:rRNA from 1 species
AACCUGGUUGAUCCUGCCAGUAGUCAUAUGCUUGUCUCAAAGAUUAAGCCAUGCAUGUGUAAGCACACACUGUUUUAAAAGUGAAGCCGCGAAUGGCUCAUUACAACAGCCACAGUUUAUUAGAACUUACAAUCAUGGAUAACUGUGGUAAUUCUAGAGCUAAUACACGCACAAAAACUUCAACUGAAUUGGUUGAAGUGCUUUUAUUAGAACAAAAGCCGAACGGCGUUUGGCGAAUGUUGAACGUCGAAACUGUUUGGUGAAUCUGAAUAACUAUUUCUGAUCGCAUGGUCUAGCACCGGCGACAUCACUUUCAAGUGUCUGCCUUAUCAACCUUCGAUGGUAGUCUAUGCGACUACCAUGGUGAUAACGGGUAACGGAGAAUCAGGGUUCGACUCCCGAGAGGGAGCCUGAGAAACGGCUACCACAUCCAAGGAAGGCAGCAGGCGCGCAAAUUACCCACUCCCAGCUUGGGGAGGUAGUGACGAAAAAUAACGAGACGAUUCUCGUUUGAGAAACGUUAUCGAAAUGAGUACGCUUUACACACGCUAACGAGUAGCAAUUGGAGGGCAAGUCUGGUGCCAGCAGCCGCGGUAAUUCCAGCUCCAAUAGCGUAUAUUAAAGUUGCUGCGGUUAAAACGCUCGUAGUUGAAUUGUGGUCUUAGACAACAGUCCCCCUACAUAGGUGUGGCACGGCUGCUCGAGAUCUUCAUUCGUGGUUGCUGUUGUUGCUCUUCAUUGAGUGUCAAUGGUGCCUCGAGAUUUUACUUUGAAAAAAUUAGAGUGCUCAAGGCAGGUUGUGAUGCCUGAAUAAUGGUGCAUGGAAUAAUAGAAUACGAUCUCGGUUCUAUUUUGUUGGUUUUCGAACCGGAGAUAAUGAUUGAAAGGAACAGACGGGGGCAUUCGUAUUGCUGCGUUAGAGGUGAAAUUCUUGGAUCGCAGCAAGAUGAACAAUUGCGAAAGCAUUUGCCAAGAAUGUUUUCAUUAAUCAAGAACGAAAGUUAGAGGUUCGAAGGCGAUCAGAUACCGCCCUAGCUCUAACGGUAAACUAUGCCAACCAGCGAUUCGCCGAAGUUCAUUUAAGACUCGGCGAGCAGCUUCCGGGAAACCAAAGUGUUUCGGUUCCGGGGGAAGUAUGGUUGCAAAGCUGAAACUUAAAGGAAUUGACGGAAGGGCACCACCAGGAGUGGAGCCUGCGGCUUAAUUUGACUCAACACGGGAAAACUCACCCGGCCCGGACACUGGAAGGAUUGACAGAUUGACAGCUCUUUCUUGAUUCAGUGGGUAGUGGUGCAUGGCCGUUCUUAGUUGGUGGAGCGAUUUGUCUGGUUAAUUCCGAUAACGAACGAGACUCUACCCUAUUAAAUAGUGACAGUAUUGUAUUUUUUGUGCUGAUCACUUCUUAGAGGGACUGGCAAAUUGAAAGCUGCACGAAAAAGAGCAAUAACAGGUCUGUGAUGCCCUUCGAUGUCCGGGGCUGCACGCGCGCUACAAUGAAAGCGUCAACGUGAGUUACGUCCUUACCUGAAAAGGUUUGGCAAUCGAAUGAAACGUUUUCUUGAAUGGAAUAGGGAAUUGCAAUUGUUUCCCUUGAACGAGGAAUUCCCAGUAAGCGUGAGUCAUUAGCUCGCGUUGAUUACGUCCCUGCCCUUUGUACACACCGCCCGUCGCUACUACCGAUUGGAUGAUUUAGUGAGGUGUUUUGACUGGCGCCAGUAGUCGGAUGUAUUCGGCUUCGCGCCGGGAAAUUUCCCAAACCAAAUCAUCUAGAGGAAGUAAAAGUCGUAACAAGGUUUCCGUAGGUGAACCUGCGGAAGGAUCAUUA